rnacentral:tRNA from 1 species
UAGGAUGUAGUAUAGGGCGGGAAUACGGAGAGUUUUGGACUCUUAGACUGGGGUUCGAUCCCCCUUUUCCUAA